rnacentral:rRNA from 1 species
AGCGAACGCUGGCGGCAGGCCUAACACAUGCAAGUCGAACGGAUCCUUCGGGAUUAGUGGCGGACGGGUGAGUAACACGUGGGAACGUGCCCUUUGGUUCGGAACAACUCAGGGAAACUUGAGCUAAUACCGGAUGUGCCCUUCGGGGGAAAGAUUUAUCGCCAUUGGAGCGGCCCGCGUCUGAUUAGCUAGUUGGUGAGGUAACGGCCCACCAAGGCGACGAUCAGUAGCUGGUCUGAGAGGAUGAUCAGCCACACUGGGACUGAGACACGGCCCAGACUCUUACGGGAGGCAGCAGUGGGGAAUCUUGCGCAAUGGGCGAAAGCCUGACGCAGCCAUGCCGCGUGAAUGAUGAAGGUCUUAGGAUUGUAAAAUUCUUUCAGCGGGGACGAUAAUGACGGUACCCGCAGAAGAAGCUCCGGCUAACUUCGUG